rnacentral:rRNA from 1 species
UUCCAGACUCCUACGGGAGGCAGCAGUGGGGAAUAUUGCACAAUGGGGGAAACCCUGAUGCAGCGACGCCGCGUGAGUGAAGAAGUAUUUCGGUAUGUAAAGCUCUAUCAGCAGGGAAGAAGUUGACGGUACCUGAGUAAGAAGCCCCGGCUAACUACGUGCCAGCAGCCGCGGUAAUACGUAGGGGGCAAGCGUUAUCCGGAUUUACUGGGUGUAAAGGGAGCGUAGACGGCAGUGCAAGUCUGAAGUGAAAGCCCCGGGCUUAACCCGGGAAUUGCUUUGGAAACUGUGCAGCUAGAGUGCAGGAGAGGUAAGUGGAAUUCCUAGUGUAGCGGUGAAAUGCGUAGAUAUUAGGAGGAACACCAGUGGCGAAGGCGGCUUACUGGACUGUAACUGACGUUGAGGCUCGAAAGCGUGGGGAGCAAACAGGAUUAGAUACCCGGGUA